rnacentral:rRNA from 1 species
CCUACGGGGUGCAGCAGUAGGGAAUAUUGCUCAAUGGGGGAAACCCUGAAGCAGCAACGCCGCGUGGAGGAUGAAGGUUUUCGGAUUGUAAACUCCUUUUGUUAGAGAAGAUAAUGACGGUAUCUAACGAAUAAGCACCGGCUAACUCCGUGCCAGCAGCCGCGGUAAUACGGAGGGUGCAAGCGUUACUCGGAAUCACUGGGCGGAAAGAGCGCGUAGGCGGGAUAGCAAGUCAGAUGUGAAAUCCUAUGGCUAAACCAUAGAACUGCAUUUGAAACUGUUAUUCUAGAGUAUGGGAGAGGUAGGUGGAAUUCUUGGUGUAGGGGUAAAAUCCGUAGAGAUCAAGAGGAAUACUCAUUGCGAAGGCGACCUGCUAGAACAUAACUGACGCUGAUGCGCGAAAGCGUGGGGAGCAAACAGGAUUAGAUACCCCAGUAGUC